UACGUAGGGUGCAAGCGUUAAUCGGAAUUACUGGGCGUAAAGCGCGCGCAGGCGGCACACCAAGUACGUCAUGAAAUCUCCCUGCUCAACGGGGAGGGUGUGAGGUAGACUGGUGAGCUAGAGGAGGGUAGAGGGGGGGUAGAAUUGCUGGUGUAGCGGUGAAAUGCGUAGAGAUCAGCAGGAAUACCCGUGGCGAAGGCGGCCCCCUGGGCCCUAAAACCACCCCACUCUUUCCCGCAAGGGAGGAGAGAGGGAAACCUGACGCUGAGGCGCGAAGGCUAGGGGAGCGAACGGG
rnacentral:rRNA from 1 species